UGAAGCGAUCAGGUUGUGACAUCUGUCACCGCAUUGACCGCCAGGGUGGAUUCGGCCAAUCCGGCUGGCUAGGCGGUGUCCCUUUCCUCCCUCACCGCCCACGUGCAGUCCAAGAGGAUGCCCUCCCCAGGCGGAGGAGGACCGGUCGUCCGUCAAGGGUAUACGGGUAGCUGCUCUCCCCUGCUAGAACCUCCAAACAAGCUCUCGA
rnacentral:lncRNA from 1 species